UAUAUUUAAUAUUCCUGUAGAACUGUAAGAGAGAAUAUAUUUAACACAUCAUUUAAUAUUCCUGUAGAACUGUAAGAGAGAAUAUAUUUAAUAUUCCUGUAGAACUGUAAGAGAGAAUAUAUUUAACACAUCAUUUAAUAUUCCUGUAGAACUGUAAGAGAGAAUAUAGUCAACGGCUGCUGUCAAAAGGUGAUGGACGAGUUAUUCCUGUGUCCUGUGUUCAUGCCCUUUUAAGGACAUCCUGUCCGGAUAUCCUCAUGCUAUUUAGGGUAGGUUUAUGCCCUUUUAAGGACAUCCUGUCCGGAUAUCCUCAUGUUAUUUAGGGUAGGUUUAUGCCCUUUUAAGGACCUCCUGUCCAGAUAUCCUCAUGCUAUUUAGGGUGUGCUUAUGUAACUUGAUAGUGCAGCUGUUUCUUCAAAGUAAAGCAAAUGUUUGUAACAAAAAGUAAUGAUGAUUGAUGUGUGGGGAUCUUGUUGAACUGAAAGAAAAUGUGUUUGAACUGAUGGAGCUGCUGUGUAGUGACCUUGUGA
ensembl:lncRNA